GCCUGGCUGGUUAAGUUGGUAGAACGUGUGACUCUUAAUCUUAGAGGUGUGGGUUGGAACCCCAUAUUGGGUG
rnacentral:tRNA from 1 species